rnacentral:rRNA from 1 species
AUUGAACGCUGGCGGCAGGCCUAACACAUGCAAGUCGAGCGGAUGAAGGGAGCUUGCUCCUGGAUUCAGCGGCGGACGGGUGAGUAAUGCCUAGGAAUCUGCCUGGUAGUGGGGGAUAACGUCCGGAAACGGGCGCUAAUACCGCAUACGUCCUGAGGGAGAAAGUGGGGGAUCUUCGGACCUCACGCUAUCAGAUGAGCCUAGGUCGGAUUAGCUAGUUGGUGGGGUAAAGGCCUACCAAGGCGACGAUCCGUAACUGGUCUGAGAGGAUGAUCAGUCAAACGGGAACUGAGACACGGUCCGGCCCCCUACGGGAGGCAGGAGUGGGGAAGUUUGGAAAAGGGGGGAAAGCCUGAUCCAGCCAGGCCGGGUGGGUGAAGAAGGUCUUGGGGUUGGAAAGCACUUUAAGUUGGGGGGAAGGGGAGUAAGUUAAAACCUUGCUGUUUUGAGGUUACCAACAAAAAAAGCCCCGGCUAACUUCGG